UUUUUUGUUAACCUGGUUUGGAUUAGCAGCAGGGUGACAGAGUUCAGCAGCACCUCCUGUCAUCUGAUUUAAUCUGGAACUGUAGAGCUACAGAGAGACAAAGAAAUGUAAGUGUGUGUGCAUCAACAAAAUAGUGCAGACA